UACGGGGGGAGCAAGCGUUGUUCGGAUUUACUGGGCGUAAAGGGCGCGUAGGCGGUCGUGACAAGUCACUUGUGAAAUCUCCGGGCUUAACUCGGAACGGUCAAGUGAUACUGUCGGACUAGAGUACAGAAGGGGCAACUGGAAUUCUCGGUGUAGCGGUGAAAUGCGUAGAUAUCGAGAGGAACACCUGCGGCGAAGGCGGGUUGCUGGGCUGAUACUGACGCUGAGGCGCGAAAGCGUGGGGAGCGAACAGG
rnacentral:rRNA from 1 species